rnacentral:tRNA from 1 species
AAUGAAUUGCCUGACAAAAAGGAUUACCUUGAUAGGGUAAAUUAUGUAAUAAAAUUACAUUCAUUA